rnacentral:rRNA from 1 species
AGAUAAUAGAUACCCUGGUAGUCCACACCGUAAACGUUGGGCGCUAGGUGUGGGAUCCAUUCCACGGGUUCCGUGCCGCAGCUAAACGCAUUAAGCGCCCCGCCUGGGGAGUACGGCCGCAAGGCUGAAACUCAAAGGAAUUGACGGGGGCCCGCACAAGCGGCGGAGCAUGCGGAUUAAUUCGAUGCAACGCGAAGAACCUUACCUGGGUUUGACAUACACCGGAAAGCGCCAGAGAUGGUGCCCCUUUUAGUCGGUGUACAGGUGGUGCAUGGCUGUCGUCAGCUCGUGUCGUGAGAUGUUGGGUUAAGUCCCGCAACGAGCGCAACCCUCGUCCUAUGUUGCCAGCACGUGAUGGUGGGGACUCAUAGGAGACUGCCGGGGUCAACUCGGAGGAAGGUGGGGAUGACGUCAAGUCAUCAUGCCCCUUAUGUCCAGGGCUUCACGCAUGCUACAAUGGCCGGUACAAAGGGCUGCGAUCCCGUGAGGGGGAGCGAAUCCCAAAAAGCCGGUCUCAGUUCGGAUUGGGGUCUGCAAC